rnacentral:pre_miRNA from 1 species
ACAGGAGUCACCUGGGGACCUUGCUAAAAUGCAGCAUCUAAUUUGCUAGAUCUGGGGCAGGGCCAGAGAUUCUACAUUUCUAACAAGCUUCCAGGUGAUGCCAGU